GGGCCUUGCUAAUACUCCCCCGCAAACUUAGCGUGGAUGGAGCAGCUACGCUGAGUUUGAAAGCACAGAUGGAUAUGGCUUGAAAUGAGCAUAAGUAGAUGAAGUAGGAUGCUUGAGAUGUUAGCAAAUGGUUCUACUCACCAUUGUAGACAAACAUUAGUGUGAGAUCUAUUCAGACCUAUACUUGGAGAGUAUCACAUGGCUUCACUCAGAGGUUUCUCUUGAACUUGGAGAGCUUAGUUGAUCUCACUCAGAGGUAUAAUUGUGGCCUAUUUGUCUCACUAUGAAUCUAGGUUUACUUUACCCAUUUCAUCCUUCUAAUGUGUCUAAUGAAGAACACUCUUUCCACACCUACCAAAUACAACUAUACUCACUCUCUGCUUCCCAUCAAUAUCACCAAAAUUCUGCCUCUAAACAAACUGACCUUCUUGUGAGCAUUUCAGCGAGCACUUUGUGUGCAUUAGCAUUAAAGCCAGAGCUUCCACACGCAACAAACCCAAACCUGCCUAUUUCAUUAUAGCUUCGGUUCCAAACCUAUCUUAACCCAAGAAUUUAAGCUAACCAGCAACUCAAUCCAACACAGAGACAUUUAUUUUUCAUCUUUUGUUCUGUCUCAGUAGAAAGAAAUAGACAAUACCGUCCAUAAAGUGAUGAGGAAGUCUUUCUUUCUUCUCUGUCUGUUCUGAGCCCUACUUCACAGCUUCAGCUUCAUCGCUACCCAGAAAACACACAGCUUCAUCUAACUGAAGCUUAAAGAAAACGUCUUGUUGUUCUGGUGUUGAAAAGGCUGGAUGAUUUCGUCCUCUUGCUUCAUGGAGUGAAUUGUACCAGCGUGACUGAAGGAGAGCAGCGUGAGUGAAGCAAGUUUGGAGCUUUAGUGACAGAAAGGGUUGUAUAUUGGAAGCUGGUGAAAAUAAAACCCAUAGAUCCAAGGAUUUACUCCCUGGUGCUCUGAUACCAUGUAGACAAACUCAAAACAAGAUAGAUUCUGCUCAUAAGAGCUUAUUGACACAGAAAAUGAAAUAGCUUUAAGAAGCUUUAUUGUGCAAUGAAACUAAAGAAAGGAAGAAUCUUUAUGCUUGUCACCAAGAUAAGUAAGAUUGUAAAUGAUUCAUAAAUAUGAAGGGAGAGGCUGCAUUCAACGCAGCCUUCGUUACAUUGCAAAGUGACCUUACACAGAUAUUUAUAUCAACUCAAUAUGCUAGAAAACCUAGAUACAAUGAGCUUAGAUAAUGGGCUUCCGGUCUUUAUUUGGGCCUUGCUAAUACAUACUUGGUGUACUUUAAAUGUAUAGAUUGAUUUCUAUUGUGAUACUUUAAUUUACAAGAUUUUUGUCGGUUUACUUCUUUUUUUUUAUCAGAGUCGGUUACUUCAAUGGUUCGAAUUUGCUUAUAUGAGAAACUGGAAUCAGCAUUGAACUGAUUCAAAGAUUAGGUUCAUUUAAAUUAGAGAAAAAGACUAGAAUAGCACCAAACCAAACAAAGUUUUUGUUCCCAAACUAGCAUUUAAAGCCCAAAGUCACAAAAAUAGAUUUUUUUAAAGAGGUAAAUAUACACUUAUACUUGGUAUUAAUCUAAACUUUAGGGUUUAGAGUUAAGGGGUGGAGUUUUGGAAUUAGGAUUCAAAAUUUUAUAUAAAAAUAAAUAAAUACUAAAAAAUUAAAAAAAAAAAUUUAAAAAACAGUUUCAAAAAGUAUUUUUGAAUUAUAAAAAGAAAAUUUGAAAAGAAAAAAAAUUCGAAAAAAAAUUUCAAAAAAAAGUUAUAAAAAAUUUCGAAUCUGAAAACAUCUAAUCUGAAACUAUAAAAAAAAAAAUCAUUUUUUUUUAAUUUGUUUUUAUUUAUUUUUGUUUGUUUAUUUAAUUUUAAGCCAAAGGUAUUAGGGAUAUUUUACCCUUUAAUAAAUGUCAUUUUUGUGACUUCAUCACGAUUAACAGAAUGGUGCAUUUUUAAUGUUCUCCCUAAUCCUUGGGUUAUGGUUAAUGCCUCACAGAAAUUGGGCCACCAAGCCCAUGCCAGUAAUAUCUUAAUGUAUUCCCAGUAACUCAAUCAGACAUUCCUAAUACACGUAACAUGGCCAAAAAAUACCUUAGCAAAUGACUAAGUUUGUUUUACUUCAUUGAAAAUCGUUUAAAUUGUUCAUAUAUUUACACUUAUAUGCAUCACUCAUCAGUUUUCUUCAUCCUGCCUUUACCGAAAAAAGAAGAGCAAAAUGUUGUAAAAGACCUUUUUCCUUAUUACUGAUAUCUUGUAAUAGUUUCUUACUUCAUUUACGACUUAAUCAACGUUCAUUUAUAAAAUAUUAAAUCACCACUCAAGAUAUUCAGAGACAAUAUGAUAUCUUGUAAUGGUCUCUAUAUUUUCUCUCAUUUUUAAAUUAUUUUCUAUAUUUUUAAUGGUGAAAAACUCUUUAAGAGCUCACCGCUAAUGAUGCUCUAAAGCAUCUUAAACGAGAAUCGGGAUACCACAUCUUCACUUCUAUUUUUGAUUUUUUUUUUUUCUUUAAUAGUUAGAUACUGGAGCAUAUCCUUGCACUAGAGUUACUCUUACAUAUUAGUCUAUAUUAUAGCGCUUAUAAUAAUAAAACAAUAUCCAAAUUUUUACAAUAUAUAUAGUUCCCUAACAUUCAAAUAAUUGUUUAAUAGGAUCCACACUUAAAAAUAUACUAAAAGUAGUGUUUUUAAAACCGAACGAUCUGUGGUUGGACUAAGUUUGACUAUGACUCAGUCACAUAGGUGAGGGGUUUAAUAGAUGGUUUUACCAUAAACUGGUCAAAUGUUAGAUUGAAUCUUGAAAUAAUUGAACUUAAUAUAAACCAAUUGAACUAUCAAAAAUCUAUGAACCAAACAUAUAAAAUACCUUAUAUUUAUAAUGUUUUAUAUUUGAUAUUAAUUUAUAUUUUAAUUACGUAUCAUAUUUACUAACUUUAUUUUAAAUUAUAUAUCUAAAAAAUAUUAAAUUAGAUAAUUGAAUCACGUUUGAUACGGUCGAACCACCAUGAUCUAUCUGAAUAAAUAUCUGAUUUAUCUUUCGGACCAGUUUUAAAACAUUACCAAAACCAGAUUGGUGAAGUUUCUUAACUAAUAAAAUAGUCAUUUGAUGAGUAAAAAAGGCUCACAAGUUCUAAAUUUCAUUAUGAGCUACAAUGAGUCGGGGUUUAAUAUAAUAGCUAAGCUAAUUUGUGUUUUCCACCAGUAAUAGUGCCCACCAAAGAUCGAUUCAUGCUAUAAGGAUACCUUAAAAUAACCUACAAAGACAUUUAUAAAACAAAUCAUCUUUAUGCAAUAGAAAAACUAUUACUGAUAGUGAUAAUUCAGUUUUUAUAACAAACAAGCACAAAAAAAACCCACAAAAUAUCAAAUCUACGACACACCACUAGUAUUAAAUAAAAUAACACACUAAUGUAUAUGCCUUUACUAUUAUCAACAUCUAAAACAUAAUAGCAGCAAAAUAAAAGUUUUUGUGUUAAAUGGUAGUCCUUAUAAUGAGUAUUCUCUUUUCAUAUGUAAUUGGUGAUUUACUCAGUGUUACAAACAAAUUGAUUAUUCUCUCGUAUAUAAUGAAUGAAGAAUAUUAGAAACUUUGAUUUUAAUAUGUGUAUAAGCUUGUCUCUUAACUAGUAAAUCCAAUCAAACGCCUUAUGCAUAUAGGCACUGCCUUGUUCAUGUUUGCCCGCCCACACUUUCAAAUAGAUACCAUUUUCUCUGGCUCUCCAAUCCCACAAGGCUCCAUUAUCUCUGGGACUUACCUGUUUGAAUGCUGUGAAGCUCUGAGUGUGCCUAUAGUUAGGCCCUUGUCUCAACGUACACAUGAAACGCGUUGUCCCGAAAAUGUUGGUGUUGAAGUAUUUUUCAUAUCGUGCUCCUGGUUCUAUUAUCUCUGUCUUCAUUCGGUUGUCUUUGGAGUAACAGCUUACGGAGAGUUUUUUUCUUGAAUUUGAGUUCGUUUGAAAUCCUGAUGCUGCUGUAUACAUGGCUAAUCAUGCAGAAGCUAACCACACAUAGAAAGAUUGAGAGAUUUUUCAUAUUUAUUUUUGUAGGAUACAUAUGAUGUUUACUUCUUUUUGUGGUUUAGAUUAUAUAUACACAUCUAUAUUGCUAUGUAUAGUAUUUUAGUUUAUAAAUACUAUUAUAGAGAGACAAAUUAGAUGAGUUGUUAAUGCCCUAAUUAAUAAGCUAGAUAAUCCUCGCAAUUCCACAGGUUGAACUUCUGUUAAAAACUGCUAUUAUUACUUUGGAAAAAAAAUAGAAACAGCUGUUAUACAUGUUAAAUGUGCUUUGAUCUACGUACCGUAGAUCAUAAUCUGAAUACCAACAGGAACUUGUUGUCAAGAAUGUUGUAUCGGGCCUGUAGCCGAUACGUUUUCGAUUCGCUCUCGAUCCCACUCUCUCAAACUCUCUCGCUCUCGUGUGUUUAUAGCGUAAAGAAAAAGAAUGCACACAAGACGUUAUAGAGUUCCCCACUUCUCCACCGGGUACUUCUCUCUUCAGGAUCGGUGUCCCGGAAUGCACUAUCAGAUAUUUUCUUUUGCUACAAUGAACUCAGCUCAGUUACAAGUAUAUAUAGAAUCUAACUCUCGUAACAGAAAGACGACGACUCCUUCAGCUCUGCUUCGCAGCUCCGCUUUGAGUUCUUCCGUGAUGGGCUUGGACAUAACCAGCAUGGCCCACUAAAUCACCUUCAUGCUAUCUCGACCCAAUCAUCUGUCAAUCUCUCAUGGCCUAUCUGAUCAAUGUGAUCAAUGAGGCCGCUGAUACUUCAACACAUAACCAUAACCUUACAAACUCCACCUUGGUUCUUGUUCUCUCUCUCUCAACAUCAUCUCCUUGACAUUGUAAGUGCAUUCCUGAUCUCUCUCUCAACAUCAUCUCCUUGACAUUGUAAGUGCUUUCCUGCUCCUGGUAUAAUCCUUUGCAAGUCUCCCUGAUUUACCUUGAGACUUCCUUGACCUCUACGUUCAAAUACUCAGCUUUAUCAACCACUGAUAACAACAACAACCAACCUGUUAACAGUCUUCAGCCACUGCACCGUCUCCCUUGCUGAGAUAUCUGAGACGAUCCUGGAUCCUCAUGAACUUCAGUCACGUUCAGUGACUUCAGAUGAUCACUGAACUUCUCUCCUGGUAACACACCUUUGUCAAUGCAUCUGCCGGAUUCUUAUACGUAUGAAUCUUCAUCACCUUCACAAACCCAUGUGCCACUAGCUCUCUGACAAAGUUGUACUUGACUCUGACGUGUUUAGUACGCUCAUGAAACAUGUUAUUCUUAGCCAAGUAGAUUGCGCUUUGCGAGUCACAGUAUAACUCUGCCGCUUCCUGCUUAAAGCCCAACUCCUCACAGAUUCCUUUCAGCCACACUGCCUCACGACUAGACUCGGACAAAGAAAUAUACUCAGCCUCUGUCGUUGAUAGAGCAACAAAUUUCUGUAAACAUGAGCGCCAACUCACAGUGUUACCGCCCACAGUAAACACAAAACCCGUAAUAGACCUGCUUCGAUCUUGGUCUGACGCAUAAUCUGAAUCACAGAACCCUCUGCCCUGAAAAUCUGAUCCUUUUGAGAACAUCAAACUUAGUUUCGCAGCUCCUUUAAGAUAACGCAUGAUCCAUUUCACAGCUGCCCAAUGAUCUGUUCCUGGCUUUCCCAUGUAUCUGCUUACUAGGCCCAAACCGUAAGCCAAGUCAGGUCUUGACCCUACCAUUGCGUACAUGAGACUUCCCACAGUACUGGCAUAUGGAACACCUUCCAUCUUUCUCAUCUGCUCAGCCUCCUCCGGUUUUGUAACAGCUCUCAACUUAAACUGUGAACCUAUCGGAGUCUGAACUGCGCUUGCAUCCUUCAUCCCAAACGUCUUCAGAACUUGAUUCAAAUACCUCUCUUGAGACAACCUCAGAGUUCUUCUGCUUCUGUCUCUCAGAAUAUCCAUUCCCAAAAUACGUCUAGCAGGACCCAGAUCCUUCAUCUUGAAUUCUGCCUUUAACAAUUUCUUUAGCUGAUCAACCUUUGUCUUACUUUGCGACGCUAUCAAGAUGUCAUCCACAUAAAGUAACAAGUAUACUCUUGACUCAACUGUUUUUCCUUCCAGAUACACACACGGAUCAUACUGGCUCAUGUUGUACUUCUUUCUGAUCAUAAACUCAUCAAACCGGUGAUUCCACUCACGUGGAGACUGUUUCAACCCGUACAGAGCCUUCUUUAGGAGACAUACUUUUUCUUCUUGACCUUCCUUAACAAAACCCUCUGGCUGCGUCAUAUAUAUUAUUUCCUGUAGAACCCUGUGAAGAAACGAUGUCUUGACGUCCAUCUGCUCCAGCUUCAUAUCAAACGUAACAACUGCUGAUAAGAGCAACCUGAUAGAAACAUGUUUAACUAUUGGAGCAAAAACUUCGUUAUAGUCAAUCCCUUCAAUCUGUGCAUAACCCUUUGCAACCAAGCGUCCUUUAUAUCUUGGUUCUUCCACUCCUGGAAUGCCGGGCUUGUACUUGUAAAUCUACUUGCAGCCUAUAACCUUUUGAUCUUUUGGUUUUUCUGCGAGUUCCCAUGUUUGGUUCACAUCAUGUGAUACCAUUUCUUCACUCAUAGCUCCAUUCCACAGACCCCAAUCUUUACUUCUUCUUGCUUCAGCAUAGGACUUUGGUUCCUCUGUCUCUAUCUCUUCUGCACUAGCAAGAGCAUAAGCCUAUGCUUUGGUUCCUCUAUCUCUAUCUCUUCUGCACUAGCAAGAGCAUAAGCUACGAGAUCUCUAUCACCAUACUUUGACGGGGGCUUAAUAUGUCUUAUAGCCCUGUCUUUGGCCAGAAUGUAUUCACUCAAGUCCUCCUCUUCUUCUUGAGACGUAGUCUCACAGUCUUCUUCUGAAUCACUCGAGUCUGAGUGAUUUAUCGGAUCAUUUAUCUUCAUAGCUCCACCUUGAGCUGAAGAUUCUCCUUCUGUAUCUUCUGGUUCAAACUCUUCCAGCUCCUUCUUGAAGGAGACCCGCUUCUUAGGACUUGUCGCCUUCGCUUCAUCAACUGUUAGUUCAGUAGCCUCUUCUCGUUGCUUGUAGAGUUUCUCUUCGUUUAACACUACAUCCUUGCUCACAACAACUUUCUCAUCCUCUAGGAUCCAUACUCUGUAGCCCUUUGUCCCAAGCGCAUAGCCCAGUAAAAAUCCUUUAGUUGCUCGAGGACUGAUCUUAUCUGCUACUGAGUGAACAUACGCAAUACACCCGGACCUUCUCAAUUGAUCAUACCUCGGCUCUGUCCCUGUUCACAGAACCUGGUGACAUGUUGAUGAUGUACACUGCAGUUGAUGCUGCCUCUGCCCAAAACUUUUCUCCCAGACCUGUCUCAUGAAGCAUGCUUUGAACCUUAUCCAUUAUUGUCCUAUUCAUGCGCUCUGAGACUCCGUUCUGCUGUGGCGUGUAGGGGCAAGUCUUGUGACGCUUAACUCAUGUGUCUCUGCAUACUUUGUCAAACAAGUUGUUGCAGAACUCCAAGUCGUUGUCAGUUCUUAUACACUUCAGCUUCUUCUGACUCUGAUUUUCAACCAACGUCUUCCACUCUUCGAACUUCUGAAAUGCCUCAUCCUUUGUCUUAGGGAAAUAUAUCCAGACGCGCCUCGAGUAGUCAUCUAUGAACGUCAGGAAAUACUUGCAUCCAAAGAGACUUGGAGUUACAUUCGGCGAUCCCCACAAGUCUGAAUGAACGUAAUCAAGUAUUCCUUUAGUUGUGUGUUUUGCCUUUGGGAAGCUUUGCUUAUGCGACUUCCCCAUUGCACAUGCCUCACAGAAACCUAGAGAUUUUAUCCCUUCUUUCUUUAGGUGAUCUUUUCUUACCAGGACGUCCAUCGAUGACUGACUCAUAUGUGCCAACCUCGAGUGCCAUCUACUCGUAGUAUCCACUGCACUACAAGCAUCUUUACCAUUGUUCUCUCUGACUGAACCCUGAAGGUAGUAAAGACCCUGAUCAUACUGCCCUGUCAAUACCCUCUGAUUGUCUUUGUAAAACUCCACCUUGAAGUCUGCUCCAAUAUACUUGCAACCCACCUGCUCCAGUUGACCGUAAGAAAUCAAGUUUCUUCUUAUGUCUGGAAUGUACCUCACUUGACUGAGGGUUACAACCGUUCCAUCGGGAUUGUCGAUGGUAAUAGUGCCUUGCCCUUUCACCAUACAGUGUGUGUUUUCCUCAUAAGGACUUUGUUUCCUUCAAAUUCUUCAAAGCUCGAAAGAACUUUUCGUCUGGGUGUGAUGUGAAACGUACACCCAGAGUCUAGUACCCACUCAUCACUCUUUGCUAGAAGACUUUCCUUCAGAGCUAUCGAGGUAGGUAGCUUCAUGGCGACAUUUGCAGAUGUUGAUGGUCUGCUCUGUUCCUAACUGUUUCGCUGAGGACAGUCACGCUUCCAGUGAUUUUCAUCCCCACAAACCCAUCAGGCAUUGGACCCAUAUCUCGGUCUUGACUUCGACCUUCCUCUAUCCUGACCUCUGCUCCUUCCUCGGUUGUUGAUUUGAUUCCUUGACCCCUUCUUGUCAGACCUUCCUCUGUUUUCAACAUACAACCCUUAUGUACCUUUUCUUGACUUGUCUUGAGCCCCUCUCUGUCUGUGCUCUGCCUCCUUUGCGUAUGCUGAUAAGAUAACCUCAUUCACUGUGAGGGUUUCCUUGCAUGUUCCAUAUUUCAGGGUGUGAACCAUUGGUUCAUAGGCCAUUGGGAGACUCGUCAAGAGUUGAAUUUCCUGAUCCUCAUCACUCACCAUGAUCUUCAGGCUUGCAAGGUCUGCAAUGAGCUUCAGGAAGGCGUCAAGAUUUUCCUCGAUUGACUUUCUUUCUUCCAUCUUGAAACUCGCAAAGCUUUGCUUCAAGUAUAUCCGGUUCGGAAGAGACUUUGUUUGAUAGUCCUACUCCAGUGCCUUCCACAUUCCCAAUGCAGUAGGCUCGUCCAUUAUCUUCCUCAAGAUGGUGUCACUUAGACACAUU
rnacentral:lncRNA from 1 species